rnacentral:rRNA from 1 species
GAUGAACGCUGGCGGCGUGCCUAAUACAUGCAAGUCGAGCGAACGGACGAGAAGCUUGCUUCUCUGAUGUUAGCGGCGGACGGGUGAGUAACACGUGGAUAACCUACCUAUAAGACUGGGAUAACUUCGGGAAACCGGAGCUAAUACCGGAUAAUAUUUUGAACCGCAUGGUUCAAAAAUGAAAGACGGUCUUGCUGUCACUUAUAGAUGGAUCCGAGCUGCAUUAGCUAGUUGGUAAGGUAACGGCUUACCAAGGCAACGAUGCAUAGCCGACCUGAGAGGGUGAUCGGCCACACUGGAACUGAGACACGGUCCAGACUCCUACGGGAGGCAGCAGUAGGGAAUCUUCCGCAAUGGGCGAAAGCCUGGCGGAGCAACGCCGCGUGAGUGAUAAAGGUCUUCGGAUCGUAAAACUCUGUUAUUAGGGAAGAACAUAUGUGUAAGUAACUGUGCACAUCUUGACGGUACCUAAUCAGAAAGCCACGGCUAACUACGU